AGGUGAUAUUGCUAUCACCUGGUUUGGGCUAAUCCGCUUUCGCUCGCCACUACUUACGGAAUCUCUUUUGAUUUCUACUCCUGUUGGUACUUAGAUGUUUCAGUUCCCAACGUAUGCCCUCGUUACACUAUGUAUUCAUGUAACGAUGACCGAGUGUUUAACUCGGCCGGGUUCCCCCAUUCGGAUAUCUGCGGGUCAAUGGCUAUUUGCGCCUCUCCGCAGCUUUUCGCAGCUUGUCACGUCCUUCAUCGCCUUCUGGUGCCAAGGCAUUCACCCUAUGCUCUUAGUAGCUUGACCUCUAAAAUGUCUGUAUGCUUCGCAUUACUGUGUCAGACUUCGUUUCCUGCGCUGCUCAUUUAUCUAAAGAAACUAAAGUUUCUUGUAAACUCCGCUGCUCGGAACUCGUCUUCCUUGUACUGCUCGCAUCUAUUCAUUUUAUUUAUCGAUUUUCUUCGAUAUCAUCAGUUCUUCUAA
rnacentral:rRNA from 1 species